UUCAGUGACAGGACAUCCAAGAAAGGAAUUGUCUGCAUAGGAUGGGCACCUCAGCAAGAAAUUCUAGCACAUCCAUCAAUAGGGGGAUCAUUGUUUCACUCUGGGUGGGGUUCAAUCAUAGAAACUCUGCAUCAUGGGCUUUGUCUAAUUGCUCUGCCCUUCAUUAUUGACCAAGGGGUCAAUGCCAGGUUACUGGUAGAGAAAGGUUUGGCCGUGGAGGUGGACAGGAAGGACGAUGGAUCAUUUACUAGAAAUGAUAUUGAUAGAUCUCUGAGACUAGCUAUGGUUUCAGAAGAAGGGAAGCAGUUGAGGCAUCAAGCAAAAAUAGCUGCUGCCAUUUUUGGGGAUAGGAAGCUGCAUCAGAACUACAUCACUAGGUUUGUUGAGUAUCUGAGGAAUGGAGUUUGAAAGGUAGACGCAAGGAUGAUGCCCCUCCUUCUGUGGGUGUAGAUGUUAUAAGUAAAAAUAUAUGGUCUUUCGUGGUCAAUAAAAGCUAUAUAUGCCGUCCACCCACGGAUGUAAUUCCUGUAUCAUCUCUGUGUCACACACGGUGCUAAUCGAUGCUUCUGAAAGUUUUGAAAGUCCGUAUCGGAUGGAGAUACCGCUUAAAAGGAUUUGGCUACCACCCUAUUUAUAGAGAUCCACUGUAAUGAAAAAUUUGGAAAAUCAUGAAGACAGAUGAGUUACAACUCUCAAUAAAACUUGCUGUUUUUGUUUUUUUUUUGUUUUUUUUUUGUUUUUUU
rnacentral:misc_RNA from 1 species